rnacentral:rRNA from 1 species
AGAGUUUGAUCCUGGCUCAGGACGAACGCUGGCGGCGUGCCUAAUACAUGCAAGUCGAGCGGGCUAAGGUGGAACUUGUUCCACCAAGGUUAGCGGCGGACGGGUGAGUAACACGUAGGCAACCUGCCCUCUGGACUGGGAUAACUACCGGAAACGGUAGCUAAUACCAGAUAAUUCACUUUUUCGCAUGAGGAAGUGAG